rnacentral:rRNA from 1 species
UACAGAGGUCUCAAGCGUUGUUCGGAUUCAUUGGGCGUAAAGGGUGCGUAGGCGGCGCGGUAAGUCGGGUGUGAAAUCUCGGAGCUUAACUCCGAAACUGCAUUCGAUACUGCCGUGCUUGAGGACUGGAGAGGAGACUGGAAUUUACGGUGUAGCGGUGAAAUGCAUAGAUAUCGUCAAGAACACCGAUAGCGAAGGCAGCUUACUGGGCUGUAACUGACGCUGAGGCACGAAAGUGUGGGGAUCAAACAGG